CCUUCCCUCCCAUGAGGGGAGGAGUAGGUAUAGCCAGCCCUAGUGGUCUAGUGGGUAAGAUUCAGUGCUCUUACCACCACAGCCCGGGCUUGUUUCCCAGUCAGGAAACCACACCACCUGUCUGAUGUCGUACCGUGGGGGCUGCGUGUUGCCGUGAUGCUGAAAGUUAUGCCACUGGUAUUUCAAAUACCAGCAGGGUCACCCAUG